rnacentral:rRNA from 1 species
AUUCCAGCUCCAAUAGUGUAUAUUAAAGUUGUUGCAGUUAAAAAGCUCGUAGUUGGAUUUCUAGCCGACGUUAGUGGUCCCCAACGCUCAGCGUAGGGCGUACCGCACGCGUCGUCUAUCCUAUCAGUUUGUCUGGUUUCGGCCGGGCUGACUGGUUCUUUUACUUUGAAAAAAUUAGAGUGUUUAAAGCAGGCUUGCGCAAUGAAUACAUUAGCAUGGAAUAAUAAUAUAGGACUUCGGUCUCUACUUUAUUGGUUCUGGAGUUGAAGUAAUGAUUGAUAGGGAUAGUUGGGGGUGCUAGUAUUGAGUGGCCAGAGGUGAAAUUCUUAGAUUCACUCAAGACUAACUUAUGCGAAAGCAUUCACCAAGGAUGUCUUCAUUA